UUCCCCAAUCAGUACUCAUAUGCCCUUGGCAACUGCCUCCUAACCCUCUCAUCACACUCAUAAACAGAUGCAAAUACCGCCCAGAUACCUGCCCCCAGAGGUGCUUUGGACUGAUGCCUUCCACAGAGAAACGCAAAGCAUUUUCCAAUUCCUUAAAGCACGACCAAAUACCUUGCAUUAACCACAGCCACGACACCGGUGCCAGGGAGCUCAUUUACAAAGUACUGGUCCUAUUAACGCUGGGAUUGCUGGAUGGGAAACAGGUGUACCUUUCCCAUUUAGUGACACACACCUUCCAGAGAUAAAGGCAAUUAUGUUCACAACCCAAAUGAACUUCGGAAGCACCUCAAAAUGCUCCAGUCCGUCCCGGGCUUGUAAACCUGGGUCACUUUUCAGAGACUGUCGUGAGUUCCCCUGGCGACCCUCGCAUCACCCCAUCCUCAAAGAGAGUCAACUAGGAAACACCAAAAGUCCAAAGGCUGCAUUGUGAAUCUCUGCUGCUCCCACUGCCUAACUACUGGCUGUGACUGCUAAGCAUCUACCGCGAGCGCUGCCUUAUUCUGUGCCAAGCCCCAAGCCCCGACCAGGCACUGCAGGCCAAGGUGCUCCGGAGAAGACAAGGGUGAGGCUAAGCUUAGCACAUGCCAGGCAUCCUCUCCUAUGGAAAUUCUUGGAGAUGGAGGGAAAAGUACUAGCACACCCACAGUAAGGCUUCCUCUGAAGGACAGAGCUGGAGGACAGCUACCACCGGGAAGGAGAAUCAAGUUCUGGUACUGCUGCCCCUCCCACCCGCCUUGCUCCGCAAACACCAACCUCUUCACUCAACGGCUGUGAAAUUAGACCAUGUCAUCAGGCUAAAUAGGAAAUUGAAUAAUUUAUGCAAAAUGAAAUUCCCACGAAAGGAGGCCUGUUCUUCUAAUGAUUAAGCUUAGCAUCACCAGUGGGCAGCCAGUGAUUGCUCGAGGGAUGGACAGUCCAACGUCGGGAGACUUCAGUCACAAAUCGGACACUUACUGAAUGUGCUUCCUGCCGGUUAUUUAAUGGCUCCAUUUUUCAACUCGUUCGCUUGUAAAAUAACCGUGUUGAACUAGAAUCUGAAUUUUAGACUUGGAAUUGCCCUAAAAUGAAGGGGAGAGGAAGUACCUAUUAUGGACAAGAACGUAAUAGACAGGUGUUAAUCACCUUUAUUCCACAUAGGAAGAAACAUACCUAAAAGGGUAAGAACAUUGACAAGGUGGUGACUGAGCUAGGAUUCAGGCCUCUGCCGUCUGACUCCUUCUCUUUAGGAUUUUGUAGGUUGGGGAAGUGAGGUGUCAGUGGGCUGAAUGAUUUGUGCAGGGUACGUAGCACGUUGGCAGGUUGGCAAGUUAGCAAGUUAUCAAGGUAGAGUUGAGGCCAGAACCCAGAUUUAUUGAUGCCAAUCAUGUUUUUACUUUUUCUCCCUUUUAAAUGUGGGUGCAGAUUCAAAUUAUGUGUAGUCCUCAAUUUAUUGUUGACUAACAUCCAUUAAACCAUUAUUGCUACCAUCUUGGUUUAUUAUAUUUUUCCGUUUCAUUUUCCACCCUCUCUGUAAUUUGCCUUGGGGUGGGGAUGGAAGGGGGAUAUUUUUGGAUCUGUUAUGGCAGGUCACUAAUUUGUUCUUUGGCUAUGUACCUUCGACUGUGUA